rnacentral:sRNA from 1 species
CCCCUUAUGUCUUGGGCUACACACGUGCUACAAUGGUCGGUACAAAAAGUUGCGAUCUCGUAAGAGGGAGCUAAUCUGAAAAAGCCGAUCUCAGUUCGGAUUGAGGGCUGCAACUCGCCCUCAUGAAGCCGGAAUCGCUAGUAAUCGCGAAUCAGCAAUGUCGCGGUGAAUACGUUCUCGGGUCUUGUACACACCGCCCGUCACACCAUGAGAGUUGAUAAUACCAGAAGUCGGUAUUCUAACCGCAAGGAGGAAGCCGCCCAAGGUAGGAUUGAUGAUUAGGGUGAAGUCGUAACAAGGUAUCCGUACGAGAACGUGCGGAUGGAUCACCUCCUUUCUAUGGAGUUAAUACUUUAUAGUAAUUAACUAGUUUUAAUGACCGUUAUGUUUAGUUUUCAGAGAUUAGUUUCUCUGACAAUAACAAGUAAAUGUUAUUGGAAUUGUUCUUUGAAAACUGGAUAAUAGACAUCUAGUUAUUUUAAUCACAUGAUUAAAAUAACAAUAAUUCAAAAUUUCUGUUAUUUUUAAAAAAUAACUAAAAUUUCACAGUUAUAUUUGUAAAUGAUUCUCAAAAAACUGAUUUAAAAUCAGGUCAAAUAAUUUAUAAAACUUUGAAGUUACAAAGGGCGUAUGGUGAAUGCCUUGGGAAUAGGAGACGAUGAAGGACGUGACUACCUGCGAUAAGGUUCGGGGAGCUGGAAGUAAGCUUUGAUCCGGACAUGUCCGAAUGGGGAAACCCGGUGAGAUUAAUCUCUCAUCAUCCUAUAAUGAAUAAAUAGUUAUAGUGAAGGUAUACCUAGGGAAUUGAAACAUCUUAGUACCUAGAGGAAAAGAAAGCGAAUGCGAUUCUCUUAGUAGCGGCGAGCGAACGGGGAACAGCCCAAACCAGAUUUAUCUGGGGUUGUAGGACCAUAAUAGUAGAGUUACAAAACUUGUUUAUAGUAGAAAUGGUUGGGAAACCAUGCCGUAGAGGGUGAUAGCCCCGUAUACGAAAUAGACAAGACUCGAAAUGGAAUCCUGAGUACGGCGAGACACGUGAAAUCUUGUCGGAAUCAACGCGGACCACCGCGUAAGGCUAAAUACUACCUAUUCACCGAUAGUGAACCAGUACCGUGAGGGAAAGGUGAAAAGCACCCCGGGAAGGGAGUGAAAUAGUACCUGAAACCAUAUGCCUACAAGAAGUCGGAGCCCGUUAAUGGGUGACGGCGUGCCUUUUGUAGAAUGAGCCGGCGAGUUAUGAUAGCAUGCAAGGUUAAGUAGAAAAUACGGAGCCGUAGUGAAAGCGAGCCUUAAUAGGGCGUUUAGUAUGUUGUCAUAGACCCGAAACCAGGUGAUCUAGCCAUGAGCAGGUUGAAGUUGAGGUAAAACUUAAUGGAGGACCGAACCGACGUUCGUUGAAAAGACCGCGGAUGACUUGUGGCUAGGGGUGAAAUUCCAAUCGAACCUGGAGAUAG